UAUUCAGUGCCUUUAUGGUUGAGCUACAGACAUGGUGUCAAGAUGAAUAAACUACUUGGAAAAGAGACUAGAGAGCAGAGAGAGACCAGAAAGAGGCAGAAGGAAGCUGGCCUUUGGUCCCAGUAUAAAACAAGAAAUAAAUCUUCCAGGGGAAGCCACAUUGAGCCUUGGCAGGGGAUUUAGUGCUUUCUGGGGGAGAAGAGCAGACACAGAGUCAAGGGUUUCUGGUUGUUAGUUUGGCAGAGAUCCAGGAAUUGUCCAGGCUGCAUAUACUGAGAGAUUUUAAACUGUUAAACUGCAUUGCUAGGAUGAAAAGCAGCAGCCUUGGCUGCUGACUUCACUCACCUCAGCUUCCCAACAUGGUGAAGGUAAUUUACUUCCAGCUCUGUGAGCCAUGCUCUCUGCUGACUCUGGAAGGCAUUGGGUUGAU